UUUUCUUCUUCUUCUUACCCUAAUAGAAAUUUUAAAUAUAUACAUAUGGAUAGUAGUAGUGAUAGAAUUAGGAUGUACAAGAGGUUAUGGGGCUCAAUUGUAUUGUUAGGAGUUGUUUGGUUAUUGUUGGUUAGUGUCUUGGAAAAUAGAGGAACAAAGAUGUUGAAGAAGCAAAGGCCAAAUAUUAUUCAUUCAAAGAUGAAACUCAACUUCAUGAGUAUUAAAAGAAGAGUUCCUAAUGGCCCUGACCCUAUCCAUAACAGAAGAGCGGGAAAUUCUCAUCAACCACAUGGUCAGGUUUCAAAAGGAGAAUUUGGCAAGCCAUGAAUAAAUAAAUAAAUAAAUUAAAUUUCCUAUCUUGUAUAUGUAAUUUAUUGAAAAUGGGAUUGUCAAUAUAUAUUGUGAGAGAUGAAAUUUCAGUUAAA